AGGACGAACGCUUGCGACGUGCCUAAGAAAUGCAAGUCGAACGGACAGUAGCAAUACUGUUAGUGGCGAACGGUCGCGUAACACGUGGGCAACCUGCCCUGAAGCGGGGGACAACAACUCGAAAGAGUUGCUAAUACCGCAUGUGGAUCGCUCUGGCAUCAGAGAUUAUCCAAAGCCUUCGGGCACUUCAGGAUGGGCCCGCGGCCUAUCAGCUAGUUGGUGAGGUAACGGCCCACCAAGGCGACG
rnacentral:rRNA from 1 species